rnacentral:rRNA from 1 species
UGGGGAAUUUUGGACAAUGGGCGAAAGCCUGAUCCAGCAAUGCCGCGUGUGUGAAGAAGGCCUUCGGGUUGUAAAGCACUUUUGUCCGGAAAGAAAUCCUUGGCUCUAAUACAGUCGGGGGAUGACGGUACCGGAAGAAUAAGCACCGGCUAACUACGUGCCAGCAGCCGCGGUAAUACGUAGGGUGCAAGCGUUAAUCGGAAUUACUGGGCGUAAAGCGUGCGCAGGCGGUUUGCUAAGACCGAUGUGAAAUCCCCGGGCUCAACCUGGGAACUGCAUUGGUGACUGGCAGGCUAGAGUAUGGCAGAGGGGGGUAGAAUUCCACGUGUAGCAGUGAAAUGCGUAGAGAUGUGGAGGAAUACCGAUGGCGAAGGCAGCCCCCCUGGGGCCAAUACUGACGCUCAUGCACGAAAAGCGUGGGGGAGCAAAACAGGAUUAGAUACCCUGGUAGUCCACGCCCUAAAACGAUGUCAACUAGUUGUUGGGGGAUUCAUUUUCCUUAGUAACGUAGCUAACGCGUGAAGUUGACCGCCUGGGGAGUACGGUCGCAAGAUUAAAACUCAAAUGAAUUGACGGGGGUCAUAGCUGUUUCCU